GUGUCCAUUUAUCAUUUAUUAUUGCAUCUGUGACUUUUUAUUGUCCCAAGUUCGUUCUUCCUACAUGCCAGCUCCGAAUCAUCAAUCAAUGAAUUAGUAAUGGGCUCAUUUUUAUUUCUUGUGCAUGAAUCUUAGCGUAAUGGGCUCAUUUUUAUUUCUUGUGCAUGAAUCUUAGCGUGUGUCGAUUUGAUUUUCCAACGAAGAGAUUAGCUGGUCAAUUCCCUCAUCAAAAAGGAGAAGAGGUCAGACUUGCAAAUCUUCAAGAGCUUCAUUUUGUUGGUGUUGGAGUUGGAGUGGGCGUGCAGUGGCUUCCUGUCUGUCAUGAUUAGUCACUCUUUUGGUUGUUGUCUCUUUUCUCAGCAGCCGGUGGCCUAUUUUCGAUGGUGCUUUCAAUAAACGCAUCCACAUCUUCCCCACUUUCGGCGCGUCCGGCUAUUUCCAGCGAUUUGUUACUUAUAUAUUCGGUACAUGCCAUUUUUUGAUCGAGUGCUAUUAUUGUGAUCGACCUAAUCCUAUCUUACAUGUCUCUCUCGAUUUGUGAUUUUAUGAUAUCAUAUCUUGCUCAAUUCAAAUCAAAUUCUCUCAUUUUUCAGAUCUUAACGUUUUUUAAUUAUUUUAUCUUUAAAAAUUUAGAAAUGCCAAUGGCUAUUUUGUGUGUAAUUUUAUUUUUAAUGAAUAUAAAAUGUGAUUUUGUGUGGUUUUAAUUUGAGGUUUAGGUUGAAUUUUCAGGUUGAAGGCUCUGAGGCACCCGAUACUAGCUCAAUCAGUUUCAAUUCCAAUUAGAUAAUAAUUUUCUAGAUUUGCUUUGUGGGUUUUUUAAAUUAGGGCAAAAAAAUGUUAAUGGUUGGUGCUGGUGGUGUUGGAUGUGAGCUCCUCAAGGCUGUUGCUCUCUGGCUUUCGAGAUAUUCGCAUAGGUUGUUUUCUGCAUGGUUAGAACCCAUUACGUUUGGGAAAAUUAGAAGUUAGCUUUGCCGGAAUGCUAUCUUCAUGACGAUGACGAACCUAGACCGACGAAGAGAGAGCUGAUAUAGGCAUUGUGACUCCGGUCUCAUUCCGUGAUAAAGCAUGAACUGCAGUCACUUUUGGGCAAGGAAUAUGUGUUCAAGUUGUCACGGAACAAGUAUAAUACUGUUGAUGGCCGGCGGAAUUAUGGGGUUUCUGCAGUAUACGUCCCUCUGCAAGAGCUAGAAUCUGCUUACGCGGAGAAGUCCCUGCCACAAGUGUAUUUUUUGCCUUUCUAGAUAAUAAAUAUGUGUACUUUCUUGGUUGUCAUGCUCCAGGCUGUCCACGAAUAAGGGGGAAUUUCAGCAGCUGAUGACAACGUGGAUGCUGUCGCCAAUGAACGCAAGAGAAAGCUUGAACCUGAUCUUCAAGAUGCUCUUUAGAGCCGGACCUUGCACAACACUGAAGGCCUUAUUAGGUCCAUCAAUGUUAUAGUGCCAACUUUUUGUGACUGUGCAGGUCAUAAAACAAGACACAUAUAACCAGAACCUGGCUUCUCCUUUUAUUUUUAUCCUGUGACUGACGUUUUGCGAUUGACAAUUUCCCUUAUAUUCUGUGCCUGUUUAGGCUGUCCAAAA